rnacentral:misc_RNA from 1 species
GAAGUGCGAUAAGCAAUGCGAAUUGCAGAACCGUGAGUCAUCAGAUUUUUGAACGCAACUGGCGCCGGUUGGCUCUCCAACCGGCAUGCUUGUUUCAGUGUCUCUUUAUCUCAUCACCCAUAUCAUAAUGCGAGAGAUACCCUUCUCUUGCUAAGCUCGAAAGCACUCUGCGCUCUGCGAGCGGCUUCGACUUGUUCGAGGGUCGCACUCAAUGCACCCGUCACAUUGCUCACAAUGUGAACUCAUUGAGAGCUGAGGCAGUGUAGCGUAAGCUACCAGUGCUUAGUCACACAAACUUUACUUGCAUCUGAAAUCAAGCAGGAUCACCCGCUGAACUUAAGC